AGGAGGAACAGCCCCAGUGGCGGGCAGCUCUGGAAACCUGGAUUCAGCCCCCGCAGGAACUCCGGAGCUCUCCGUCUGCAGGGCCUGGAGGCUCCGGGGCGGG
rfam:Canis lupus familiaris chromosome 2, whole genome shotgun sequence.